CCUUGCAUAAGGGAUUCCAGUUCGGCCAAUUGGGCUAAUGUUGAGAAAUAACACAUUUAAAUGCAAACAACAAUAAAGACAUCAUUUAUUGAGCGUGGCCGGCCAACCUAUCUACCUAUAUAGAUCAAGCACCAUGGGCAUCAGCAAAGACCAGGUUCUUUAAGUCCUCAGGCGAUCAAGAAUAGACGUACCCCAAUAAUCAGUAUGAUCUGACGAACACUUGCAUGGGACCUUCACAAGGUAAGGAAGGCCAGUAACAUCAGCUUCGUUUAAUAGCCUGCCUUUGCCAAUAACGUCUGCAAGCUCUGCUUGAGCUUUUGCUAUUAGCAUCGGGGUUAUUAAGAAGUUCUGUCAUUGCCCACUUUACUGUGUUUGAAGAUGUAUCAGUCCCCAGCCCGCAACAAACAAGUCCUGUUGAUAUAGCAGACAACCAAUUCGGUAUAGUUUUAUGCCAAAAAUACAGGCCAACCAUGCCUGCUGGGAUGUGGCAAAUUUUGCAAGCCACUCAAAUCUUUCCAACAUAUUUGACUCGUGAAUUUAUGUCCACACGUUUCACCGGUACCUGCUAAAUGCAAAUUCAAUUCGGUAUACACAAACUGAUCGAGUCCGACCUCAAUCUUCAUUCCCACCAUAAAUGGAAAACUGAUCUGAAGUGACAUUAUGUUCUUUGUCUUUCCAGUUUCCAUAUAUAAAUGGAAAACCAAAUCCAAAUUA